CGUCGGGUAUCAUUGCUAGAUGAUCAUUUUGAUUGGUACAAAAAUUUAUUUUUAUGCUACUAACUUAGGUUUGGACCUAUGAGGUCACACACAUUAGAGUUCAUGAUCCAAUCGGAUGGUUGAUCAAUGAUUAAGAAUCGUUCUAGGAUUAAACGAUCAAUACGAUUGACACUUAAAUAAGUGCAAAUAUUGUAGGAGGAUCGAUUAGCAAUUCGAUUACUAAUUGGCUUAAUUUGAUUAAGUCAAUGGAUUGAGAUUAAUUUUAAUUAA
rnacentral:lncRNA from 1 species